GUGACCUAGAGAUGGGCAACUUGCCCAGGACCGUGCAACUGCAUCCAACAGCUCUGGGCUAUUUUACUCACUGCCUUAGACUACACCAGACAGGGUUUCUCUGUGUAGCCCUGCCUGUCCUGGAACUUACUCUGUUGACCAGGCUGUUCUGGAACUCAGACAUUCCCCUACUUCUGUCUCCUGAGAGCUGAGGUUAAAGGCAUGAACCCCCACACCUGGCUUAUCAUCUGUCUUCUCAACAAGAGACUUCCCACAGAGAAGGGAUUCCAAACCUGGGUUCACAAAGAGAUGCUGAGAUCUAUGUACCCUUUGAGUUGUACAAAAAGGGGCAGGGAGCACAUUUCAGUAGAGAGCCUGCAGACUCUCAUCCAGCCCCGAAAUGAGCGUCCCCCUAAAACCCUAGUCCGGGGCUGAGGUAGAAAGAUUGAGAGCUGGAGACUGGACUGGGUUACAUAACAAGAACCAAUCUAAAAGAAAGAAAAGAGUGUUUCCCCCAAUGCUAAAAGCCGCUCAUGGCACCUUGCCACUCCUCUUCCCUUUCAGCUAAAAAAGCCCAAGAACCUCUAAAGGCAGGCAGCUUGGCUUGAGACAGGUUGGGAGCAGGUUUUAUCAAGAUGCCACUAGCCAAACAGGGAUGGCUGCCCUGACUCCAGCUGGGUUCCUAUGAUGCAGAUGUCUGAAGACACCACCAAGUCCCUGAGCAGGUUGUACUUGCUUAAGGUAGCUUGCCAGCAAAGGCAGAAAACAGCCUUUGUGGGGAUCCCGAGGGAGGGCCUGAAGCAUGGGCUGCCACCGCAUCUGUAGGAGCCUCUCCCCGACUGACCACAGAUGCAUUACAAAUCUCUGCUUCUUGCUGCCCGGGACUCAGGCUCCUUUCCUGGUGCCUGCUGAUAAUCCCUGACACUGUUUGGAGGAAUGCGUCACUUUCUCAACUGUCUGGCUCUGGAUGCACCACCUACUGCGCCUCCUUUGGGAAUAAGGUAAUGUUGGUCACUUGCCCAGAAUAAAAAUCCUCCCUGUUCUUGCAGAUGGCCAAAGAUGCUUCUUCCUUUUUUUUCCACAAUAGAAAACCAUGCAGUGUCUUCAAGACACCGAGGUGCCUGCUUUAUACACAUCUAGCGAUGUCCACUUGUGAUGGAGGAAGGGCAAAUUACCCCAGAGCUAGGUUUUUCAGAGGCUCCCCACGGCAGUCGAAGGGCUUGUGUGGAACUUCUUCAGCUUCCCCCAGCUAAUUGCUCCGUACUCCAGGAAGUCUUCGCCAUCUCCAACUGAGCAAUGUUCCUCCUGUACUUUCCCAGGUUGCCUAAAAUAAACCGAUGCACAU
rnacentral:lncRNA from 1 species